AACGAACGUUGGCGGCGUGGAUGAGGCAUGCAAGUCGAACGUGAAAGCAACUUCGGUUGUGAGUAAAGUGGCGAACGGGUGAGUAACACGUAAUCAAGCUACCUCCGAGACCGGGAUAACCACGGGAAACUGUGGCUAAGACCGGAUGGUCUUGCCGGAUCGCAUGGUCUGGUAAGUAAAUGGUUGGGAUCCUUCGGGACCUUCUGCUUGGAGAGGUGAUUGCGGCCUAUCAGCUAGUUGGUGGUGUAAUGGACCACCAAGGCGACGACGGGUAGCGGGCCUGAGAGGGUGGCCCGUCACACUGGGACUGAGACACUGCCCAG
rnacentral:rRNA from 1 species